GCCGGUCCUCGGUAGUGGCCCCCUGGUUGCCCAGGAAAUGGUGGCAGCCCCAGGGGACUUCGAUCGAAGACCGGC
rfam:Nocardia sp. NRRL S-836 P437contig22.1, whole genome shotgun sequence.